rnacentral:rRNA from 1 species
UACAGAGGCCCCGAGCGUUAGUCGGAAUUACUGGGCUUAAAGGGUGCGUAGGCGGACUUCUAAGUGUCGCGUGAAAGCCCACGGCUUAACCGUGGAACCGCGCGGCAAACUGGGAGUCUUGAGGAACGUAUAGGCGGGUGGAACGAUAGGUGGAGCGGUGGAAUGCGUAGAUAUCGGAAGGAACAUCAGUGGCGAAAGCGGCUUCCUGGUCCAGCAUCGACGUUCAGGCACGAAAGCGUGGGGAGCAAACAGG